AUGGGCAGCGCGCUGGAGACGCUAUGCGGGCAAGCGGUGGGCGCGGGGCAGGUGGACAUGCUUGGCGUCUACAUCCAGCGCUCCUGGAUCAUCUGCGGCGCCACCGCGCUGGCACUCGCGCCGACCUAUGUCUUCACGCCGCCCAUCCUGCUGGCGCUCCACCAGCCCACCGCCAUCUCCGUCGUUGCCGGGCGGUAUACACAAUUGGUCGUCCUGCAGUUGUUCGCCUACGCCGCCAAUUUCCCGCUGCAGAAGUUCUUCCAGGCGCAGAGCAAGGUCUGGGCCAUGACCUUCAUCUCCGGCGCGGGGCUCGCCCUCCACAUCGUGCUCAACUACGUCUUCGUCACGCGCCUUGGUCAUGGCCUCUUCGGCGCCGCCAUGAUCGGGAAUGUCACCUGGUGGAUCAUCAUUGUUGCGCAGUUCGCCUACCUCGUCUCCGGCUGCUUCCCGGAGGCAUGGAAGGGGUUCUCCAUGCUCGCCUUCAAUAACCUCGCCGCCUUCGUCAAGUUGUCCCUCGCCUCCGCCGUCAUGCUCUGCUUGGAGCUGUGGUACUACAGUGCAGUGCUCAUCCUUGUGGGUCUCCUAAAGAAUGCUCAACUCCAGGUUGACAUCAUGUCCGUUUGCAUCAAUUACCAGCUCUGGACCCUUAUGGUGGCAAUAGGCUUCAAUGCAGCAGUGAGCGUUAGGGUGUCCAACGAGCUGGGCGCGAACAGGCCUAAGGCAGCUAAGUUCUCCAUGAUCAUAGCGGUGUCCACGUCCGCCGCCAUCGGGGCGGUCUUCCUGGCCGUGUUCCUCAUCUGGAGGACCGAGCUGCCACGGUUCUUCAGCGACAACAACAGGGUGGGGGGGGGGGAGCUGCAAAGCUUGGCUACCUUCUUGCAGCAUGCAUCUUCCUCAACAGCAUCCAGCCUGUGCUCUCAGGCACGUACCAUUACCCCAAUUGGUUACCAAAUUAACCUAGUGAUCCCAAUGACAAUUGGAACAUGUCGCUUUGCAGGUGUGGCGAUAGGAGCAGGGUGGCAGACGCUUGUGGCGUUCAUAAACAUUGUGUGCUACUACUUGUUUGGCAUCCCACUGGGAGUCCUCUUUGGCUUCAAGCUAAAACUUGGUGCAUUGGGGAUUUGGGUGGGCAUGUCAAUUGGCACGCUGCUGCAGACUGCUAUACUGAUCACAAUUUGCUUCCGAGCCAAGUGGGAGAAUCAGGCAAUGUUGGCCGAAGAGAGGAUAAGGAAGUGGGGAGGAAGCAGUGAAACAUUGCCGGCAGCCACAACAACGGCGAUAAACGAUAUCGUAGAUCAAUAA
rnacentral:rRNA from 1 species